GCAGAAGGCACCACUCGAAAAAACUGAGUUUAUGUGUGUACUUGACGGCGAUCAGAGCAACGAUCUAGCACCAUAUAAAUUCAGUGUUUUCGUGGACAGAGAGCCAAGUUU
rnacentral:pre_miRNA from 18 species